rnacentral:misc_RNA from 1 species
UUUGCCUCGGAUUCUAACUUUCUGCUCCUGUAAUCCAAUACCUAAUAGCAGCAAAAUGGAAUGGAGUUGGUGGUGCUUUGCUUAAGUGGUGUGCUCGGUAAUCGAGGAUUGAGAUAUUGAUAUUAUGUGUAUGUAUGUAUGUGUUAGAUCAAAAAGGAUAUAGAUCUUUUUAAAAAAAAAGAAUUGGAAACCAAGCAAAGAAUGAGAGUGGAUACGGAGAGAAAGGAAAAAAAAGGAAGGAGAGGAAUUGCGGAGAUUGGAACUUGUGG